UGAAAAAGUGUUUCCUCCAUUGGAUUUCUCUCAACAACCUCCUGCUCAAGAAUUAAUUGCAAGGGAUUUGCAUGGUAAUGAGUGGAAAUUCAGGCAUAUCUUCCGGGGCCAGCCCAAAAGGCAUCUACUUACAACCGGAUGGAGUGUCUUUGUGA